rnacentral:rRNA from 1 species
UAAUUGAAGAGUUUGAUCAUGGCUCAGAUUGAACGCUGGCGGCAGGCCUAACACAUGCAAGUCGAGCGGCAGCACAGAGAAACU